rnacentral:tRNA from 1 species
GGAGAGAUGGCUCAGUGGUUAAGAGCACUGACUGCUCUUCCAAAGGUCCUGAGUUCAAAUCCCAGAAACCACA